GGGCCCGUAGCUCAGCCUGGUUAGAGCGCCGGUCUUAUAUCCCGGAGCUUUUCAAGAGCUCGGGAUUUGAAAGUCCCUCCGGGCCCA
rnacentral:tRNA from 1 species